rnacentral:rRNA from 1 species
AAGGCUUCGGCCUUAGUGGCGCACGGGUGCGUAACGCGUGGGAAUCUGCCCCUGGGUUCGGAAUAACAGCGAGAAAUUGCUGCUAAUACCGGAUGAUGACGUAAGUCCAAAGAUUUAUCGCCCAGGGAUGAGCCCGCGUAGGAUUAGCUAGUUGGUGGGGUAAAGGCUCACCAAGGCGACGAUCCUUAGCUGGUCUGAGAGGAUGAUCAGCCACACUGGGACUGAGACACGGCCCAGACUCCUACGGGAGGCAGCAGUGGGGAAUAUUGGACAAUGGGCGCAAGCCUGAUCCAGCAAUGCCGCGUGAGUGAUGAAGGCCUUAGGGUUGUAAAGCUCUUUUACCCGGGAUGAUAAUGACAGUACCGGGAGAAUAAGCUCCGGCUAACUCCGUGCCAGCAGCCGCGGUAAUACGGAGGGAUCUAGCGUUAUUCGGAAUUACUGGGCGUCAAGCGCACGUAGGCGGCUUUGUAAGUUAGAGGUGAAAGCCUGGAGCUCAACUCCAGAAUUGCCUUUAAGACUGCAUCGCUUGAAUCCAGGAGAGGUGAGUGGAAUUCCGAGUGUAGAGGUGAAAUUCGUAGAUAUUCGGAAGAACACCAGUGGCGAAGGCGGCUCACUGGACUGGUAUUGACGCUGAGGUGCGAAAGCGUGGG